rnacentral:rRNA from 1 species
GACGAACGCUGGCGGCGCGCCUAACACAUGCAAGUCGAACGGAGCUUAGAGAGCUUGCUUUUUAAGCUUAGUGGCGUACGGGUGAGUAACGCGUGAGUAACCUGCCCUAGAGUGGGGGACAACAGUUGGAAACGACUGCUAAUACCGCAUAAGCCCACGGUACCGCAUGGCACUGAGGGAAAAGGAUUUAUUCGCUUUAGGAUGGACUCGCGUCCAAUUAGCUAGUUGGUGAGGUAACGGCCCACCAAGGCGACGAUUGGUAGCCGGACUGAGAGGUUGAACGGCCACAUUGGGACUGAGACACGGCCCAGACUCCUACGGGAGGCAGCAGUGGGGGAUAUUGCACGAAAUGGGGGAAACCCUGAUGGCAGCGACGCCGCGUGGAGGAAGAAGGUUUCGGAUUGUAAACUCCUGUCGUUAGGGACGAUAAUGACGGUACCUGACGAAUAAGCCACGGCUAACUACGUG